AUCCAUUGUUUAUUUUUUCUCUUUUGUGGCAUAGAGUUUUCCGAUGCUGAGGAGGAAGGUGUUCUUCCUAGCCCUUCUUUGACAAGGGAGGAGAGAGAGGAGAAGAAGAGGCAAUUAUAGAGGUAAACGAGUGGAAAUCUUUAGGACACAGGAGCACUUCUUCUCUUUCUCCCAUAAGAUAUGGAUUGUCUUCUCUUGGCGCACGAUGGCUCAUCCUCACAGAAAGACAACGAUGCAGUGAUUUCUAUGGUGGAUUCCUUUUUAAAGGAGGCCCUUGAGAAUCCUCGCCAUCGCUUCACCGUUCUGCGAAUGGAGCUGGAUAUUCAGAGAUUUAUGCAAAAUCCUGAUCAACAGAAAUUUGAGUUUUCUCACUUUCCAACAUCCUACCUCCGGCUUGCAGCUCAUCGUGUUGCCCAACAUUAUGGUCUGCAUACUAUGGUAAUGGAUAACUUAAUAGAUGGCCAGGGCACCCGAAUAAUUGUGAGAAAAACAGCUGAAAGCAGAUACCCUGCUGUCUGUUUGUCGGAAAUUCCUCUGAAACAGUCAGAAAGUGAUAAACCUGAGCAUGUUAAGAUUGCCAUCAAACCGAGAUCACAUAAAGCUUCUACAGAUGAUGCAAGUGAUCAGUGUAUUAAGUGCAGUCCUGUAAAAACCAUGGAAGAGAGAAAGGAGGAGUAUGAUAGAGCACGUGCCCGCAUUUUCAGUAGAUCUAGCAGUUCUGGUACAGAAGGUGUUUUAUGUGCAGCAAAUGAUGGAAGGAGCUCAUCUUCAAGCAAAGACGAGAGUGAAAGUUGCAGGGCAGAUGUGCAGCCAGAAAAGAUUAGCACAAGGGAUGGUAGUAUUUCCAGAGUCGCCAUUUUCAGAGACAGGGAGAAGGAUCGUUCUGAUCCAGAUUACGAUCGGAGUUAUGAAAGCUUCUGCAGGUAUGUUAGGAGUGUUACGCCUAAUCAAAGCUUUAGCUUGGGGCCUUUGAACAUGCAGAGCUUUCAACCUUCAUUCAUGCAGUAUGAAUCUGGGUUUCCUCUGAAUCAAUUGCAAGGAACUAAGACAUCCCUCAGCUACAGACCUUCAUUUAGUCUGGCUAUGGAUCCAUUUUGUGCCAUGGGAUUAAAUCAGACUUCUAGGGAUCCUAUGUAUAUGCAGUGGCCUAGUCCUGCAAUGAUGUAUGCCCAGUCCUAUGAUCAAUUUAGACAUGCUGUUUUCCAGGUAGGCUAAACUUUCAUAAUUUCCCAGAUGGGUGUAUACAUAAUUAAAAAAUUAGCCAUAGUUUGAGCAUGCUUGUAGAUUGUUGUUGCACAUCAUUUGAUGGUUCCACUUUGGAGAUCUCCUCGGUGAAGAAGAAAAAUGCCAGAUAAUUGGUGUCCUUCUGGUGAAGAAGACAAGGGUGUAAAUACCGAAUAAGACAAAGGUUAUUUGCACUCUUCCAUAUUUUCACCUUUCCACUUGUUCUAGAAAAUUGAAAUAGAUAUUUUAGUCAUAAUCAAUUGGGUGACUGCUAAAUAAGGUUGUGGCACAUUUGCCUACAAAUCAUAAUUGUUAUUUUUGUGAUAGCUGGUAUCUAGCACAUUAGAAAAUGUGGUCCACGACUCCACAUGCAGAUUUAUAUCUGUAUCACUUAUAUAGGUGUGCUUGUCAUAGUAGUUUGUUAUUUGUUAAUGAUGUAUUUUCACUCGUGUGCCUUCAAGGAAUGUUACAUCCUGUUGGGAAGUAGGAUUUCAUUUUAAACAUGGAUGUUUGAGUCUCAAGGAGUUCUGGAAAUCUCUUGGAUCAGAAGCAAAUGUCUUCACUUGUUGAAGAGAGGGAGAAGCCAUCUUAUUUCUCUCAAAGUGUCUAAAAACAACGAUGAUCAGUUUGGUUAGGAGAUCUUUGAAGUGGGACCAUACAUGUGGUGUCAGCAGGGCAGAGCAUCUUCGCAAAGAGUGUAGUCAGUGUUUUAUGGUCUUGUUACUGAUAUUGCCACCCAAUACUGUUACUGCAGGCUCCUUUUUAUCAGCAACCAUUGAGCUUUGAUUACUCCCAAAACCAUUAGAAUACUGGGGAUAUCUGUAACGUUACUCAUGAAAUUCAUUCUAUUUCCUUUAGGUUGUAUUGAGAGUAGAGACGUAAUUGAAGAAUUGUUUUUCAUACACUCCCCUCUUAGUUCAUGUGCUCUUUUAUUUUGUCUUGCCAUUAACAAGGAAUGAAGAUUUAGUAGUAUAAUUUCAUGGUAUCUUCUAAUUUUGC